rnacentral:sRNA from 16 species
CCAUAGCCAGGAUGGGCCUUCGGGCGGGCCUGGACGCGGUAUCGCCGGUAGUCACGCGUUACGAAAGAACACCGGCAGCU